AGAGUUUGAUCCUGGCUCAGAACGAACGCUGGCGGCAGGCUUAACACAUGCAAGUCGAGCGAGACCUUCGGGUCUAGCGGCGGACGGGUGAGUAACGCGUGGGAACGUGCCCUUCUCUACGGAAUAGCCCCGGGAAACUGGGAGUAAUACCGUAUACGCCCUUUGGGGGAAAGAUUUAUCGGAGAAGGAUCGGCCCGCGUUGGAUUAGGUAGUUGGUGGGGUAAUGGCCCACCAAGCCGACGAUCCAUAGCUGGUUUGAGAGGAUGAUCAGCCACACUGGGACUGAGACACGGCCCAGACUCCUACGGGAGGCAGCAGUGAGGAAUCUUAGACAAUGGGGGCAACCCUGAUCUAGCCAUGCCGCGUGAGUGAUGAAGGCCUUAGGGUUGUAAAGCUCUUUCAGCUGGGAAGAUAAUGACGGUACCAGCAGAAGAAGCCCCGGCUAACUCCGUG
rnacentral:rRNA from 1 species